AGCGAACGCUGGCGGCAGGCCUAACACAUGCAAGUCGAACGAAGUCUUCGGACUUAGUGGCGGACGGGUGAGUAACACGUGGGAACGUGCCUUUAGGUUCGGAAUAACUCAGGGAGACUUGUGCUAAUACCGAAUGUGCCCUUCGGGGGAAAGAUUUAUCGCCUUUAGAGCGGCCCGCGUCUGAUUAGCUAGUUGGUGAGGUAAAGGCUCACCAAGGCUACGAUCAGUAGCUGGUCUGAGAGGAUGACCAGCCACAUUGGGACUGAGACACGGCCCAAACUCCUACGGGGGGCAGCAGUGGGGAAUAUUGCGCAGUGGGCGAAAGCCUGACGCAGCCAUGCCGCGUGGAUGAUGAAGGUCUUAGGAUUGUAAAAUCCUUUCACCGGUGAAGAUAAUGACUGUAGCCGGAGAAGAAGCCCCGGCUAACUUCGUGCUAGCAGCCGCCGUAACAC
rnacentral:rRNA from 1 species